AUUGAACGCUGGCGGCAUGCCUUACACAUGCAAGUCGAACGGCAGCGGACCUUCGGGUGCCGGCGAGUGGCGAACGGGUGAGUAAUGCAUCGGAACGUACCUUUCAGUGGGGGAUAACGUAGCGAAAGUUACGCUAAUACCGCAUAUUCUGUGAGCAGGAAAGCAGGGGAUCGCAAGACCUUGCGCUUAUUGAGCGGCCGAUGUCAGAUUAGCUAGUUGGUGAGGUAAAGGCUCACCAAGGCGACGAUCUGUAGCGGGUCUGAGAGGAUGAUCCGCCACACUGGAACUGAGACACGGGCCAGACUCCUACGGGAGGCAGCAGUGGGGAAUUUUGGACAAUGGGGGCAACCCUGAUCCAGCCAUGCCGCGUGAGUGAAGAAGGCCUUCGGGUUGUAAAGCUCUUUCGGCCGGGAAGAAAUCGCACGGGCUAAUACCCUGUGUGGAUGACGGUACCGGAAUAAGAAGCAUCGGCUAACUACGUGCCAGCAGCCGCCGUAAAAC
rnacentral:rRNA from 1 species